UACCAUUGACGCAAUCAAAUAUCCCCACUCCUUGCUCCUACUGGCGCCACAUUCGACGCUUCCCCCACUAAUGACCGCCAGUUGGCGGGAAAACGUAUCCCGUGACAGCUGCUACGUACGAGUGAGAGGCCGAGAGAGGCUCGGUCCACAUCGGCUCCUUCUGAUUCUACUCUCUGCCUCUCUCCCUCCUCUUUUUUUUCUAACCCGCGCGUCUUUUCGUGACAGUCUUCCUUCCUUCUUUAUCGAGUUUCUAAACUACAUCAUAUUCUCUCUCUCUCUCACCCCCACUCUCAUUCAUUCACUCUUUUAUUGUACGAACUUUUUUUCGUUCUGUUCGAUGUCUGUACUCUCCAUAAGGGAGGUUCAACCUAACAUAGUUUUUUAUAGAAUAUCCUUAAUGUACCUGUACCUGCUUCUCUCUGCGAUUCCAUUGACGCUCAAGAGACACAAAAAAGAUGGCGGCGUUUGAAACUUUUAUUUCCCGCGCUUUCUUCUAUACGUAAUAAAAUCUUUCACUGAGUUUCUUCAAGAGAGACGACGUCGUCUGAAGGAAGAACAAUGUUUUCCCUCACUUUUUUUAAUGACUUUUUAUUCUUAAAUGAAACGACGAUAGCAAAGAUCAAUUAAAUGAUCAUUCAAUUGAAUGAACAGAAACGAAAGAAUCUAAAUAGAACAAUGAAAAGGAGACAUUAUUUCUCCAUUUUUCUAUUAUACAUAUACAGGUUUAUCGAAAAGUGAUUAUUCGAGGACAUCCGCUGCGAGACUAGAGGAACCCGAGUUGGAUGUAAAUCUAACGCAAAUAUCUUCUCUCGAUUCACGAGGCGAGGGCUGACGUUCGAUUUCAAUAGCAGCAGAGACGGAAGUCGCAUGAGAGAGAGGGAAGGAAAGAAUGGCAAGCAGCAGCUCAUGUGAAGAACUCGUCAACGGUAGCUGACGACGAUAGGCAGUUGAUACAUCGUCGUCGGCUGUCUCUAUCAGUAAGAAAGAAGGGAAAGGAGAGGAGAAACAGCAAGUGAAGCGAAAGAGGAGGAGGAGAAGGUGGGAGAAUAGGAAGGAGAAGAGGACGCUUCGAAGACGUUGCGCAACUGAGGACUUACAUAACUUCGAUACGAGCGCCACUCUCUUGCUUUCCCCUCCUCUCCACUCACCCCACUCCUUCUUCGGCUUGUCGAGGUACUUUACGUGCGAACAGCACCCCCACUUCUUACUUUGACGAGCACGCUCUUAAAACACGUGUUAGCCUUGCCAACAGUCCUGCGCUAUAAGCUUUCUUUUUCGAUUGUCAAAAUCUUAUUUAAUUUUGGACAUAUUUUACUUAUCCAUAUCCUUUCAAAAUAAUGAUGAAAAUUUUAAAAAGAUUCGCGAAAAUGAUUAGAUUAAGAUCUAUAUAGAUAUUUUUCGGAAAUAAAAAGAAACACACAUAGAAAAAAAAAAUAGGAAACGCGCGAACGUUUAGAAAAUCAACUAGAAUAACAAUAUCACGUGCUUGUUACCGUUCGACCGAUAGUACAAAUAUCAAUGAGAAAGA